GCUCCUCCUCCUCCUCUCCCGCUCCCGGCGAUCGACCUGCAUGGCCUCGCCGUCGAGCAUAUAUAUACACCCGCGCCACCGGGCGCCCUCUCGCGGGAGCUAGCAUUGAUUGCGAACUAAUUAAUCAGCCGGGUCGCGACGUACAUCACCAGCUAGCUAGCUAGCUAAUCAAAGCCGUGUAGCAGCGGAAGGAGACAUGUCUCGCGCGCUCGCCCUCCUCGCGGCGGCUGUCCUGCUGCUGGCCGCGCACGUGGCCGUCGUCCCGCUCGCCGCCGCGGAAGGAGCGGCCGGCGGUGCCAACGCGUUCGGGGUCGGCUCCGACAUCGGCGGAGUCCCGGUCGACCCGGCGGCGGGCGGCGCCACCGCUUAAUACGAAUUGCGAGGUUGAUCAAUCUCGCCGCUGUUGGCUGGCGAGGUUUUUGUUGCGUCAAAUAAGCUCGAUGUCUACACGAUGACACGUUCAUUUUGUAUGGGUUUUAUGCUUUUAUAUGUGUACAGGAUAAUACUAGCAUGAUCGACAUUAUUAAUUUCUUUUGGUCCCUCGUUGGAUGUCCCUAGCUCGUUUAUUCAAACACCAUCCAAAUAUUCUUUUAUGGAUAUCAGAAUACUCCACAAACAACAAAUUCUAACUCUCUCACACACAAAAACAAACCUAACGGCUUUUUUUUUUUCCAAGUGAAUUUUGGUCGAGCGAAAGAAGUCUGUUUU
rnacentral:lncRNA from 1 species